rnacentral:siRNA from 1 species
UGCUGGUCUAGAGAUUGAUAC